rnacentral:tRNA from 1 species
GGGCGCUUGGCACAGGGGUAGCGCGCACGCUUUGCAUGAAAUAUGCGUGAGGCCAUGGGUUCAAAUCCCAUAGUGUCCA